rnacentral:rRNA from 1 species
AUUGAACGCUGGCGGCAGGCCUAACACAUGCAAGUCGAGCGGAAGAAGGGAGCUUGCUCCUGGAUUCAGCGGCGGACGGGUGAGUAAUGCCUAGGAAUCUGCCUGGUAGCUGGGGAUAACGUCCGGAAACGGGCGCUAAUACCGCAUACGUCCUGAGGGAGAAAGUGGGGGAUCUUCGGACCUUACGCGAUCGGAUGAGCCUAGGUCGGAUUAGCUAGUUGGUGGGGUAAAGGCCUACCAAGGCGACGAUCCGUAACUGGUCUGAGAGGAUGAUCAGUCACACUGGAACUGAGACACGGUCCAGACUCCUACGGGAGGCAGCAGUGGGGAAUAUUGGACAAUGGGCGAAAGCCUGAUCCAGCCAUGCCGCGUGUGUGAAGAAGGUCUUCGGAUUGUAAAGCACUUUAAGUUGGGAAGAAGGGCAGUAAGUUAAUACCUUGCUGUUUUGACGUUACCAACAGAAUAAGCACCGGCUAACUUCGUG